rnacentral:rRNA from 1 species
AGUGAACGCUGGCGGUAGGCCUAACACAUGCAAGUCGAACGGCAGCACAGUAAGAGCUUGCUCUUACGGGUGGCGAGUGGCGUACGGGUGAGGAAUACAUCGGAAUCUACUUUUUCGUGGGGGAUAACGUAGGGAAACUUACGCUAAUACCGCAUACGACCUACGGGUGAAAGCAGGGGAUCUUCGGACCUUGCGCGAUUGAAUGAGCCGAUGUCGGAUUAGCUAGUUGGCGGGGUAAAGGCCCACCAAGGCGACGAUCCGUAGCUGGUCUGAGAGGAUGAUCAGCCACACUGGAACUGAGACACGGUCCAGACUCCUACGGGAGGCAUCAGUGGGGAAUAUUGGACAAUGGGCGCAAGCCUGAUCCAGCCAUACCGCGUGGGUGAAGAAGGCCUUCGGGUUGUAAAGCCCUUUUGUUGGGAAAGAAAAGCAGCAGGUUAAUACCCCGCUGUUCUGACGGUACCCAAAGAAUAAGCACCGGCUAACUUCGUG